CCUAGGACAUGCAGUCGAACGGGCUGUUUAUGCAGCCAGUGGCGGACGGGUGAGUAACACGUAGGUGACCUACCCCAAAGUCUGGGACAACUAGGAGAAAUCUUAGCUAAUCCUGGAUGUGGACAUCUACUUUGGUGGAUGUUUAAAGCUUCGGCGCUUUGGGAUGGGCCUGCGGCGCAUCAGGUAGUUGGUGGGGUAAUGGCCUACCAAGCCGACGACGCGUAGCUGGUCUGAGAGGACGAUCAGCCACAGGGGUACUGAGACACGGACCCCACUCCUACGGGAGGCAGCAGUUAGGAAUCUUCCGCAAUGGGCGAAAGCCUGACGGAGCGAUACCGCUUGAAGGACGAAGCCCUUCGGGGUGUAAACUUCUGAACUCGGGACGAUAAUGACGGUACCGAGGUAAUAGCACCGGCUAACUCCGUGCCAGCAGCCGCGGUAAUACGGAGGGUGCGAGCGUUACCCGGAUUUACUGGGUGUAAAGGGCGUGUAGGCGGUCUCUCAAGUCCGAUGCUAAAGACCGAAGCUCAACUUCGGGGGUGCGUUGGAUACUGUGAGGCUAGACGGUCGGAGAGGGUAGCGGAAUUUCCGGAGUAGCGGUGAAAUGCGCAGAUACCGGAAGGAACGCCAAUAGCGAAAGCAGCUACCUGGACGAUUUGUGACGCUGAGGCGCGAAAGCGUGGGGAGCAAACCGGAUUAGAUACCCGGGUAGUCCACGCCCUAAACGAUGAGUGCUGGGUGUCCGACAUCUGUUGGGUGCCGUAGCUAACGCGUUAAGCACUCCACCUGGGAAGUACGGUCGCAAGACUGAAACUCAAAGGAAUUGACGGGGGCCCGCACAAGCGGUGGAGCAUGUGGUUUAAUUCGAAGCAACGCGCAGAACCUUACC
rnacentral:rRNA from 1 species